CGGCGCCGCAGGUGGAGGAUUAGCCUAGUGAGCUGUGGUGCCGGCCUCCAGAAACUUCUAAGAGAAACUAUGACCACCAAAUUAUACCUAAGGGAAUUGUCCUAAACAGUGCAAAUAAGCGACCUGACUUCUCAAUGCAUAAUGAAAACGAGGCAAGCAAGAAACAGCAGUAGCAAAUUCCUUCUUGGUCCUUUGGCAAAGACGGUUAUCAAGAGGCUAGGCUUGGGGCAAGAGCGGAGCACAGGAACCGGGCCAAAGCAGCUAAAUCGGCUUACUUCCUGGAGCUUGCCUUUCGGAUGACGCUUCAGGGAAGUUUACAAUACGACCUCCGCCUAGGAGAGCUGCAAGACGGCAGCCUGUGCUAGAACAGGGACACAGAGUGUACAGGCAGGUGCACCGCUCAGACAGGAAGGGCGCUCCCGCUCCACCUGCCACUCCUGGCCCCGCCCCCAACCUGGCCCCGCCCCCAACCUGAUCUUACUAUAAAAGCCCCAGCAAGCUGCUUCUGCUUCACAAGGGGGCAGUUUCUUUAGGCUACACAGCCUGCCCAGGAUGGCCUGUGUUACAUGUAAAUAAAGCGACGCUGGAGGCGCAUUGCGUGGUGACACCCUGAGCAAACGGUCCCUGGUGUCCGCUAGCCUCAAGUGAAGAGAUGACCCCAAGGCAAGGAGUUGGGAGAGAGGGAACCGCACCAAACUCCGCGGGAGAGAGUUGAAUGCAAGUAUGCCAACACUCACCGACUGAAGAACUGAAGGGGUUACACUCACACAUUCAAAUGACAAUACGAUUGAACACAGAAUCGCUAAGAGCAAACGUGGGAAGCAGCAAGGAGGCAAUUUUAGGUGAAAGAAGACUUUUGAAAUAGUAGUAAGAAAAUGCAGUACCUUCUUUUCUCCCGUAACUACCUUAUUCAUCCUCUGACUCUGAAAAGUGCAAAGCAUUGUGUAACCCCCAGCAUGACUGAGAAACGGCGUAUUUCAGCAAGUACUCUGGGACCCCUUUGUGGUAAGUUCUCCUGGGCCCUAGGACUGGCAACCACUGACACACUGAGAGCUUCUGUGUUUUUGUCUUCCCAAGACUGUCAUGUAUAUGAAAUUAUAUAACGUGAAGCCCUUUGUGCCUGGCUUCUUUAGGGAUUUAUAAUUUAUUUAUUUGAAAGACAAUGUGACACAGGGUGGGAGGGGGUGGACAGAGAGAGAGAGAGAGAAAGAGAGAGAGAGAGAUCUUCCAUUCACUGGUUUAUUCCCCAAAUAUCCACAAUAACCAGCACUGGGCCAGGUCAAAGCCAGGAGCCAGGGGACAUGAACUCCAUCAAGUCUCUCAUGUGGGCAGCGGGAAGCCAAAUACUUGUCUUAAGCCAACACCUGCUGCCUCCCAGGCACAGUAGCAGGAACCCGGGUCGGAAGUGUUGGCAGGGCUGGAUCCCACGCACUCAGCAGCAAGUGUGGCUGUCCCAAACAGCAGUUUAACUUGCUGCACCGUAACUCCUGCCACUGGCUUCAUUCUUUUAGCAAAAUACUGUUGCAGUUCAUCCAUGUCAUUGGACCUAGCAAUAUUUUGCCCCUUAUUUUUGUUGAGCCAUUUUCCACGUAACACUUAUCAAUUCACCUGUUGAAUGACAUUCACACUGUUUCCCGUUUUUCCCAAAUUUGAACAAAGCUACCAUAAACAGACGCAUGCACGACUUAAUGUGAACAUAAGCUUUUAUUCUUGGAAUAAUGCCUAGGACUUGAUUAUAGGUUGUACGAUGAGCAUAUGUUUAACUGUAUGAGAAACUGCCAAACUGUUUUCCAAAGUGACUGUACCAUUUUUGCAUUCCCACUAACAUUCUGCUAGAGAUUCAGUGGCUCUGCAAGUAUGUUAUCACUUGGCAGUGUUAGUUUAAUUAUUUUUUUAAUGUUAGUUAAAGAUGUGACUGGUAUCUCAUUACGGUUUCAAUAUCAUUUUGUUAAUGACUAAUGUUGAACAUCUUUGCAUUUUUAAUUGUUAUCUGCAUAUCUUCUGUGGUGAGAUCGAUAAAAUCUGUCUCCCAGUUUUUAUUGGGUUUAUGUUUUCUUCCUAAAUUCUAGAUUUAAGUUUUUUAUCAGAUAUGUGGUUAAAGUAUUUUCCACUCAGUCCAUGGUUUAUCUUUCCUGGAACUUAACAGUGUCUCUUGUAAAUCAGAUUUUUUUUUUUUUUGACAGGCAGAGGGGACAGUAAGAGACAGAGGGAAAGGUCUUCCUUUUCUGUUGGUUCACCCCUCAAUGCUUGCUGCGGCCAGCGCACCGCGCUGAUCCAAAGCCAAGAGCCAGGUGCUUCUCCUGGUCUUCCAUGGGGUGCAGGGCCCAAGCACUUGGGCCAUCCUCCACUGCACUCCCGGGCCACAGCAGAGAGCUGGACUGGAAGAGGGGCAACCAGGACAGAAUCUGGCACCCCGACUGGGACUAGAACCUGGGGUGCCGGCGCCACAUGUGGAGGAUUAGCCUAGUGAGCCGCGGCGCCAGCCAAUCAGAUGUUUUUAAUCACGUUGAAACCCAAUUAAUCAGGUUUCCCUUUUAUAUAUUGUGGGGGUUUUGUUUUGUUUUCUUUGGUCAUUUAGUUUGCCCAACUAAAGGGUAUUAUGAUUUUUUCUUAGUUUUCUAGUAGAAGUUUUAUGGUUUUAAAUUUUAGAUUUAGGUUUCUGACCCAUUUUUGGUUAUUUUCCAAAUAAGAUAUAAGAUGCAGGCCAGUGUUCACUUUGUCACAUGUGGGUAUUUUCUACAAUCCAUCUUUUUUUGAAUGAUCAGAGACUGUGACACCCCCAAUUUUAAUUUUCUAAAAACUGAUUUGCAUCUGCUACAAGAGUACCUCGAAACUUCAUGGAAACUCAACCAAAAGACAAAUUCAUUUUGAUGCAAAGAUUAAUGGAAUCCAUGGGUUUUUUUCAUAAUAUACAUUUCCAUGAACUUUUUGAAGAUGCGUCAUAUACCUAAAUGUGAAAAAUUUUUUUGGUCAAAAUAAAUGUAUUUUUUUAUUCCA
ensembl:lncRNA